UUGCCAUCAGUGGCAAACAGUUCGCCAGAGUUUUUUUUUCUGGCAGACAAAUUCGGGUUUCAAUUUGAAUCUGUGGCAACAAGUUCCAAGACCAGUAAUCGUUGAUCACCAAUCAGGGGGAUAGAAACAUCUGUUGAAAACUGGAAACCAAGCUAUCUAGCUUUAGCUACCUACCAAAAUUGGCCAGCUAUAUUGGGAGGAGGAUGCAUCAACACCCUGGAAAUAUGUUGUAUCAUCUUCAAGAUUGAAAAGAAACAAUCAGUAACAAGGCAAAAAUACAGGUUGAGGCCUUCAAUCAAACUGAGGACAGAGAAAUAGGUUUGCACCAAACAGGUCCAGGCUUCUUGCAUGCAUGGCUUUGAGAUCGGAAGAGAUGAACCAGGAAACGCAUUUGGACGACCCGACUAUAUCCUGAAGUUAAAGGAGAACAUAAAAGCCUUACACACAGCAGCCCAGAUGACCAAUUGGCUGAACAACAUCUGGCCGCCAAACCAGGUUGCAGAGUACAUGAAGGAGACAGAGAUCCAGGGGGCUCAGUGGACCAGACAGAAUGGGGCCGAGAUAGUCGAGAGUAUGAGCAUUUGCUGGAUACGCCAGGCAUGAUUGCUCAGGACUUCUCCAGUUUAAACCCGGACUGUUCGGGGAGACUCACUGAUAACUGGAUUGCGGUCUUCAUGGACAAAAAAAAACUUUGCUUCGCCAGCCCAGAGAGAAGCAGGCCCAAGAUGUUCUCUUCAAAGUGCAGAUACACAAGGUGACAUUGCUUUAAGACUUCUGCCAGUGGUCCUCCCAACACCAGUCUACAAGAUAAGCAGGAAGUCAUUCCGACCCAUCUUCAAUGAGACCAGAAAGUCCUUCAUUGACUUGCAGCCUGUACAUUUAAAUAGUGGAUAGGCAUAGGGGGGAUGAUGGGGAAAUUAGAUGAUGGUACACAGUAUUUUGUAAACAUUGAAUGAAAGGAAUAGAUUUCCAAAAUCUGUUAUGCAUAACGGCACACUUAAAGACAUUAGGUAGGUUUCCAUCCAAUUUGUGACAGAUUUUCAUGCAAAUAUUCUAAAAUCUGCAUAAAACAAUAUGUGCAUUUUCCCACCAGAGAUGUUUCCAGCAAACUGACUUUUUGCAGAGAAAAGGCUGUGCGUGAUGAAGUAGUGCACAUACACUUCGAUAUGGUGGUUAUUAUAUCAAUAUUUUUGGAAUAAAAGGAGUUUCUCCCGCCAUUUAUCAUAUAAUUACUUUUAAUGACACAAAGAUUCCACCAUGUCGAACGAACAAAUUGUAUGUAGGCAUUUAUACAAUUGUACCGGCAUUUCAUGUUUCCAUCAGCCCUGUCAUUACUUUUUCCACUGCUUGGGGGCACUGGAUGUGUUCUUCAAGUCAUAUUAUGUGUUAACUUUCCCACUGUGCCCCAGCAUGGGAAUUCCUACAGACCACGGUGUAUCAGUUGCAAGGAAUAGAAUCCCCUGCAGUAAGACUGUUGCGAGCAUGUCUUUUUUUUUUCAUUGAACAGUAGUGGUAUCUGCGCUUGUAUGUACAAGAGCUGUGAGAAGUGACAGGAGGAAGCACAGCCCUCCGGCUGAUGUGUUCCUGUGAAUUAAUGGAUCAAUGGAUGGAUGAACCACAAGUGUCUCAUUCCAAUGCUAAUAUGCUCUUAAGGCACUAUUUAUAGCUUUGUUAAAUUUACUUGUUUUUA